GUGGGGAAUAUUGGACAAUGGGCGCAAGCCUGAUCCAGCCAUGCCGCGUGAGUGAUGAAGGCCUUAGGGUUGUAAAGCUCUUUCAGUGGGGACGAUAAUGACGGUACCCACAGAAGAAGCCCCGGCUAACUUCGUGCCAGCAGCCGCGGUAAUACGAAGGGGGCUAGCGUUGUUCGGAUUUACUGGGCGUAAAGCGCACGUAGGCGGAUCGUUAAGUCGGGGGUGAAAUCCUGGAGCUCAACUCCAGAACUGCCUUCGAUACUGGCGAUCUUGAGUCCGGAAGAGGUGAGUGGAACUACUAGUGUAGAGGUGGAAUUCGUAGAUAUUAGGAAGAACACCAGUGGCGAAGGCGGCUUACUGGUCCAUUACUGACGCUGAGGUGCGAAAGCGUGGGGAGCAAACAGGAUUAGAAACCCCAGUAGUCC
rnacentral:rRNA from 1 species